rnacentral:rRNA from 1 species
UACGGAGGGGGCUCGCGUUGUUCGGCAUUACUGGGCGUAAAGCGCGCGUAGGCGGCUUUGUAAGUUAGAGGUGAAAGCCCGGAGCUUAACUCCGGAACUGCCUUUAAGACUGCAUCGCUAGAAGCGUGGAGAGGUGAGUGGAAUUCCGAGUGUAGAGGUGAAAUUCGUAGAUAUUCGGAAGAACACCAGUGGCGAAGGCGACUCACUGGACACGUAUGGACGCUGAGGUGCGAAAGCGUGGGGAGCAAACAGG